rnacentral:rRNA from 1 species
CUGCUAUCGGAUGAUACUAAGCCAUGCGAGUCUUUGUAGUAAUACAAGGCAGACGGCUCAGUAACACGUAGUCAACCUACCCUAUGGACAAGAAUAAUCUCGGGAAACUGGGCAUAAUUCUUGAUAGAUCAUAAUGCCUGGAAUGGUUUAUGGUUAAAAUGAUUCGUCGCCAUAGGAUGGGACUGCGGCCUAUCAGCUUGUUGGUGAGGUAAUGGCCCACCAAGGCGAUUACAGGUACGGGCUCUGAGAGGAGAAGCCCGGAGAUGGGUACUGAGACACGGACCCAGGCCCUAUGGGGCGCAGCAGGCGAGAAAACUUUGCAAUGUGCGAAAGCACGACAAGGUUAAUCCGAGUGAUUUCUGCUAAAGAAAUCUUUUGCCAGUCAUAAAACCACUGGUGAAUAAGGGGUGGGCAAGUUCUGGUGUCAGCCGCCGCGGUAAAACCAGCACCUCAAGUGGUCAGGAUGAUUAUUGGGCCUAAAGCAUCCGUAGCCGGCUUUGUUAGUUUUCGGUUAAAUCCAUGUGCUCAACACAUGGGCUGCCGAAAAUACUGCAUAGCUAGGGAGUGGGAGAGGUAGACGGUACUCAGUAGGAAGGGGUAAAAUCCUUUGAUCUAUUGAUGACCACCUGUGGCGAAGGCGGUCUACCAGAACACGUUCGACGGUGAGGGAUGAAAGCUGGGGGAGCAAACCGGAUUAGAUACCCGGGUAGUCCCAGCCGUAAACUAUGCAAACUCAGUGAUGCAUUGGCUUGUGGCCAAUGCAGUGUUGCAGGGAAGCCGUUAAGUUUGCCGCCUGGGAAGUACGUACGCAAGUAUGAAACUUAAAGGAAUUGGCGGGGAGCACCACAAGGGUGAAGCCUG